UACGAAGGGGGCGAGCGUUGUUCGGAUUUACUGGGCGUAAAGGGCGCGCAGGCGGUUCUGUUUGUCGAGUGUGAAAGCCCCGGGCUCAACCUGGGAACUGCGCUCGAAACGGCGGAACUAGAGUUCGGGAGAGGAGAGUGGAAUUCCCAGUGUAGAGGUGAAAUUCGUAGAUAUUGGGAAGAACACCGGUGGCGAAGGCGGCAUCCUGGACCAAUACUGACGCUGAGGAGCGAAAGCCAGGGGAGCAAACGGG
rnacentral:rRNA from 1 species